rnacentral:rRNA from 1 species
GGGUUGUGAGGUUAAGCGACUAAGCGUACACGGUGGAUGCCCUGGCAGUCAGAGGCGAUGAAGGACGUGCUAAUCUGCGAUAAGCGCCGGUAAGGUGAUAUGAACCGUUAUAACCGGCGAUUUCCGAAUGGGGAAACCCAGUGUGAUUCGUCACACUAUCAUUAACUGAAUCCAUAGGUUAAUGAGGCGAACCGGGGGAACUGAAACAUCUAAGUACCCCGAGGAAAAGAAAUCAACCGAGAUUCCCCCAGUAGCGGCGAGCGAACGGGGAGGAGCCCAGAGCCUGAAUCAGCAUGUGUGUUAGUGGAAGCGUCUGGAAAGGCGCGCGA